UACGGGGGGGGCAAGCGUUGUUCGGAAUUACUGGGCGUAAAGGGCUCGUAGGCGGCCAACUAAGUCAGACGUGAAAUCCCUCGGCUUAACCGGGGAACUGCGUCUGAUACUGGAUGGCUUGAGUUUGGGAGAGGGAUGCGGAAUUCCAGGUGUAGCGGUGAAAUGCGUAGAUAUCUGGAGGAACACCGGUGGCGAAGGCGGCAUCCUGGACCAACACUGAAGCUGAGUGAGCGAAAGCCAGGGGAGCAAACGGG
rnacentral:rRNA from 1 species